rnacentral:rRNA from 1 species
GUACGGGGGGGAGCAAGCGUUUGUUCGGAUUUACUGGGCGUAAAGGGCGCGUAGGCGGCCACCGCAAAGUCGACUGUGAAAUCUCCGGGCUUUAACCCGGAAAGGUCAGCCGAUACUGCGGGGGCUAGGAGUGCAGAAGGGGCAACUGGAAUUCUCGGUGUAGCGGUGAAAUGCGUAGAUAUCGAGAGGGAACACCUGCGGCGAAGGCGGGUUGCUGGGCUGACACUGACGCUGGAGGCGCGAAAGCUAGGGGGAGCGAACGGGG